CAGACUGUGACAUUACAAUAACUAGACGAGAGCAUCAGCGCAAGGAUGAAGUCAAUACAGGCAAUGCUACUGAUGCUUUUUGUUGCAUCUGUCUUUUCAAAACCAUUUCCUUUGCGCAGAGGAUUUGAUUCAUCAGACUCAAGAUCCAGUUCCAGCGAGGAUUCAAACUCUGAAUCUGAAUCAAAUGAGUCUAAAUCAAGGGAAUCUGAAUCAAAUGAGUCUAAAUCAAGGGAAUCUGAAUCUUCUGAGGAUGUUAUUGUGCCACGCACAAUCCCUCCAACUAGAAGAACAACAAAUCCGCCGACCACUGUCAGGACAACAAGACCCACAAUCCCCACGACAGAAGACACCACAACCUGGGUUACGCAGAAUAUGACCAGUACUAACAAGACAUGUGGAAGGCUUGAUGAUAUCUGCGA